UGGGGAAUAUUGCACAAUGGACGAAAGUCUGAUGCAGCAACGCCGCGUGCGGGAAGACGGCCUUCGGGUUGUAAACCGCUUUCAUCCAUGACGAAGCUAACGUGACGGUAGUGGAAGAAGAAGCACCGGCUAACUACGUGCCAGCAGCCGCGGUGAUACGUAGGGUGCGAGCGUUGUCCGGAAUUAUUGGGCGUAAAGAGCUUGUAGGCGGUUUGUCACGUCGGGAGUGAAAACUCGGGGCUUAACCCCGAGCCUGCUUUCGAUACGGGCUGACUUGAGGAAGGUAGGGGAGAAUGGAAUUCCUGGUGAAGCGGUGGAAUGCGUAGAUAUCAGGAGGAACACCAGUGGCGAAGGCGGUUCUCUGGACCUUUCCUGACGCUGAGAAGCGAAAGCGUGGGGAGCAAACAGGCUUAGAUACCCUGGUAGUCCACGCCGUAAACGGUGGGUACUAGGUGUGGGGAACAUUCCACGUUCUCCGUGCCGCAGCUAACGCAUUAAGUACCCCGCCUGGGGAGUACGGCCGCAAGGCUAA
rnacentral:rRNA from 1 species